UUAAAGAUUUUUAUUUGACUAUUUCAGAGUUUAUAGAGAGUCUUUUACCUCUCCGGUUGAUCUAACGCUGAUCAGCUCGGAUGUCGUCUCAGUUUUAUAGAUUCGGCAGAAGACGAGGCGAAUCGACCACGCCCACUUUCCUGGCUUCACAUGCAGUGAGGAAAACAGAAGCAGAGCCAUUUUAAAGUGAGAUAAGAUGACGCUGUUCAUUCUCUGCUGGAUAACCUCAAACAUCUUACUAGUUUCAGGUUCCUCCCAGAGCGACCAGGUCGUCCAGACUCCAGCUGAGAUGUUCCAUAAAACCAGAGAAACAGCCAGAAUCAGCUGUUCUCACAGCAUCCAGACCUACAACCAGAUCCUCUGGUACAAGCAGACCGGGCAGCAGAUGCAGCUGCUGGGAUACACGACAGGAACCAGUCCGCUUCCAGAGAAGGGACUGAACGUGGAGAUGGCGGGGAGCGCGAACGCAAACCAGAACUGCACUUUAAUAAUCAAAGAGCUGAACGUGAGCAGCAGUGCUGUUUACUUCUGUGCUGCUAGUCAGCACAGUGCUGCGGUUCACUGCUGCUCAGUGCAAAAACCCAACGUCGGUGUUUCUGUAAUCAGUAAUCAGCUCACCUCAUCCUCUUCCACUCAUAUUACUAACUGCAUUCAUGUCUAA